rnacentral:rRNA from 1 species
GACGAACGCUGGCGACGUGCUUAACACAUGCAAGUCGAACGGAAAGGCCCUGCUUUUGUGGGGUGCUCGAGUGGCGAACGGGUGAGUAACACGUGAGUAACCUGCCCUUGACUUUGGGAUAACUUCAGGAAACUGGGGCUAAUACCGGAUAGGAGCUCCUGCUGCAUGGUGGGGGUUGGAAAGUUUCGGCGGUUGGGGAUGGACUCGCGGCUUAUCAGCUUGUUGGUGGGGUAGUGGCUUACCAAGGCUUUGACGGGUAGCCGGCCUGAGAGGGUGACCGGCCACAUUGGGACUGAGAUACGGCCCAGACUCCUACGGGAGGCAGCAGUGGGGAAUAUUGCGCAAUGGGCGGAAGCCUGAUGCAGCAACGCCGCGUGCGGGAUGACGGCCUUCGGGUUGUAAACCGCUUUCGCCUGUGACGAAGCGUGAGUGACGGUAAUGGGUAAAGAAGCACCGGCUAACUACGUG